AUGGAUCCAACUGAAAACCCAGGGAACCGCAUUGGUCGCACUAUUUGGACUGUUUGGGGUUAUCUGUCAGGGGCUGUUGCAAGAUUUCUCAGACCGGAAGUCACAGAUGAAGGAAACCAAGGUGUUCGUACCAGAACAGAUGAUAUUGACUUGAAAAGUGCAGUUAACAAGAUUGACAGAGAAGUAACGGCAAAAAAUAGCAACAAUGAAGGGAAGGAAACAAAUCAAAUUGACAGUGCAGAGGUCAAGUGUUCCCCAUCUAAAGUCAGAGUGCAAGUGGCUUCUGUACAGUGGGAAAACACUGAUGUGGUCAAGGAUGACAAUAAUGAUGAACUUCAUGUUCACACCACAAAAAAACAAACUUACCAUUGUGCAGUGUGGUCCCCUGGGACUGAUACAGACAACGAAGGAUGCAUGGUUGACGCACUUGUUGAGAAAGAAGCAGUCUCAUCUGAUGAGGUUCAGGCUGAAAAUAUAUAUGCGAACAAUGAGUUUAAGGAGAGUGAAACUGCACACGAGUUGGAAGAAACUGGAAAGAUUGAACAAAAAUAUGGUGACAAUGAAGAUAUAGAAGAACGUGAUCAGAAUCAUAAGGGUGAAAAGUGUGCAAAGAAUAGAAAAGAUGCAUAUGAGACAGAUGUAAUGGUCCAAUUUGAUCAAGAUGUAGAACAGGAAAAGCAGAUAAACAUGGCGGACCAUGGAGAGACAGAAGGCAUUGCAGGUUUUAAACAUGCAGAUACACAUCUUAUUGAUGAACAAAUUGUUGACCAGAAGGAUCGGGGGGGAAUUGCUUACGUCUCUAAAAACGAGGUUGAGGAGAUGAUGCCUGAAACUAGAGGUGCGACUGAGCAGGAUAAGGAGAAGAAAACUGUACAGGACUUGGAAGAAAUUGGGCAGCUUGAACGAAACGAUGGUGACAAUGAAGAUAAAGAAGAAUGUGAUCAGAAUCAUGAGGAAGAAAAGUGUGCAGUGGAGAGUGAAGAUCUGGAUAAUGCAGACGUAAAGGUCCAAUCUGAGCUUUAUGGACAAGAUGUAGAACAUGAAAUGAAGAUAAGCAUGAUGGACCAUGCAGAGAAAGAAGGUAUUGGAGGUUUUAAACAUUCAGAUGAACAUCCAAUUGAUGAAGAGGAGAACAAUUUAGACCAGAAGGAUCAGGAGAAAACUGAGAAUGAUGAAGAACAAGGACUUGAAUCACAAGUUCAAGAUCUGCAGAAGAGUGAAGAUCCAGAUAAUGCAAAUGUAAUGGUCCAAUGUGAGCAAGAUGUAGAACAAGAAAAGAAGAUAAAUAUAGUGGACCAUGGAGAGACAGAAAGAAUUGCAGGUUUUAAACAUGCAGAUGAACACCUUAUUGAAGAAAAGGAGAACAAUUUAAACCAGAAGGAUCAGGAGAAAACUGAGAAUGAUGAAGAAAAAGGACUUGAAUCACAAGUUCAAGAUUUGCAGAAGAGUGAAGAUCCAGAUAACGCAGACAUAUUGGUCCAAUGUGAGCUUUAUGGACAAGAUGUAGAACAAGACAAACUGAUAAGAAUGAUGGAUCAUGCAGAGAAAGAAGGAAUUGGAGGUUUUAAACAUUCAGAUGAACAUCUUAUUGAUGAAAUAGUGGAACAAACUGUUGACCAGAAAGAUCGGGGCAGAACUGAGAAUGAUGAAGACCAAGGAACUGAAUCACAAGUGCAAGAUUUGCUGCCACAGCUGGAAUAUUUAAAAAAAUAUUCUGAUGAAAUUGCUUGCAUAUCUAAAAACGAGGUUGAGGAGAUGAUGCCUGAAACUAGAUGUGCGACUGAGCAGGGUAAGGAGAAGGAAACUGUACAGGACUUGGAAGAAAUUGGGCAGCUUGAACAAAACGAUGGUGACAAUGAAGAUGAAGAAGAAUGUGAUCAGAAUCAUGAGGAAGAAAAGUGUGCAGUGGAGAGUGAAGAUCUGGAUAAUGCAGACGUAAAGGGCCAAUCUGAGCUUUAUGGACAAGAUGUAGAACAAGACAAACUGAUAAACAUGAUGGAUCAUGGAGAGACAGGAGGCUUUGGAGGUUUUAAACUUUCAGAUGAACAUCUUAUUGAUGAAAUAGUGGAACAAACUGUUGACCAGAAAGAUCGGGGCAGAACUGAGAAUGAUGAAGACCAAGGAACUGAAUCACAAGUGCAAGAUUUGCUGCCACAGCUGGAAUAUUUAAAAAAAUAUUCUGAUGAAAUUGCUUGCAUAUCUAAAAACGAGGUUGAGGAGAUGAUGCCUGAAACUAGAUGUGCGACUGAGCAGGGUAAGGAGAAGGAAACUGUACAGGACUUGGAAGAAAUUGGGCAGCUUGAACAAAACGAUGGUGACAAUGAAGAUGAAGAAGAAUGUGAUCAGAAUCAUGAGGAAGAAAAGUGUGCAGUGGAGAGUGAAGAUUUGGAUAAUGCAGACGUAAAGGUCCAAUCUGAGCUUUAUGGACAAGAUGUAGAACAAGAAAUGCAGAUAAGUGGGAUGGACCUAGCAGAGGAAGAAGGCAUUGGAGGUUUUAAACAUUCAGAUGAACAUCCUAUUGAUGAAAAGAAGAACAAUUUAGACCAGAAGGAUCAGGAGAAAACUGAGAAUGACGAAGAACAAGGACUUGAAUCACAAGUUCAAGAUUUGCAGAAGAGUGAAGAUCCAGAUACCGCAGACGUAAUGGUCCAUUGUGAGCAAGAUGUAGAACAGGAAAAGCAGAUAAACAUAGCGGACCAUGGAGAGACAGAAGGCAUUGCAGGUUUUAAAUAUGCAGAUGAACAUCUUAUUGAAGAAAAGGAGAACAGUUUAAACCAGAAGGAUCAGGAGAAAACUGAGAAUGAUGAAGAAAAAGGACUUGAAUCACAAGUUCAAGAUUUGCAGAAGAGUGAAGAUCCAGAUAACGCAGACAUAUUGGUCCAAUGUGAGCUUUAUGGACAAGAUGUAGAACAAGACAAACUGAUAAACAUGAUGGAUCAUGGAGAGACAGGAGGCUUUGGAGGUUUUAAACUUUCAGAUGAACAUCCUAUUGAUGAGAAGGAGAACAAUUUAGACCAGAAGGAUCAGAAGAAAACUGAGAAUGAUGAAGACCAAGGACUUGAAUCACAAGUUCAAGACUUGCAGAAGAGUAAAGAUCCAGAUACUGCAGACGUAAUGGUCCAAUGUGAGCAAGAUGUAGAACAAGAAAAGCAGAUAAACAUAGCGGACAGUGGAGAGACAGAAGACAUUGGAGGUUUUAAACAUUCAGAUGAACAUCUUAUUGAUGAAAUAGAGGAACAAAUUGUUGACCAGAAGGAUCAGGGGAGAACUGAGAAUGAUGAAGACCAAGGAACUGAAUCACAAGUGCAAGAUUUGCUGCCACAGCUGGAAUAUUUAAAAAAAUAUUCUGAUGAAAUUGCUUGCAUAUCUAAAAACGAGGUUGAGGAGAUGAUGCCUGAAACUAGAGGUCCGACUGAGCAGUGUAAGGAGAAGGAAACUGUACAGGACUUGGACGAAAUUGGGCAGCUUGAACAAAACGAUGGUGACAAUGAAUAUAAAGAAGAAUGUGAUCACAAUCAUGAAGAUGAAGAGUGUGCAAUGGAGAGUGAAGAUCUGGAUAAUGCAGACGUGAUGGUCCAAUCUGAGCUUUAUGGACAAGAUGUAGAACAAGAAAUGCAGAUAAGUGGGAUGGACCUAGCAGAGGAAGAAGGCAUUGGAGGUUUUAAACAUUCAGAUGAACAUCCUAUUGAUGAAAAGGAGAACAAUUUAGACCAGAAGGAUCAGGAGAAAACUGAGAAUGAUGAAGAACAAGGACUUGAAUCACAAGUUUUGCAAAAGAGUGAAGAUCCAAAUAACUCAGACAUAUUGGUCCAGUCUGAGCUUUAUGGACAAGAUGUAGAACAAGACAAACUGAUAAGCAUGAUGGAUCAUGCAGAGAAAGAAGGAACUGGCGGUUUUAAACAUUCAGAUGAACAUCUUAUUGAUGAAAUAGAGGAACAAAUUGUUGACCAGAAGGAUCGGGAGAGGGCUGAGAAUGAUGAAGACCAAGGACUUGAAUCACAAGUACAAGAUUUGCAGAAGAGUGAAGAUCCAGAUAAUGCAGACAUAAUGGUCCAAUGUGAGCAAGAUGUAGAACAGGAAAAGCAGAUAAACAUAGUGGAACAUGGAGAGACAGAAGGCAUUGGAGGAUUUAAACAUUCAGAUGGACAUUCUAUUGAUGAAAAGGAGAAACAAAAUGUUGACCCUAUGGAUCAGGAGAUGACUGAGAAUGAUGAAGAACAAGGAAUUGAAUCACAAGUGCAAGAUUUGCUACCACAGCGGGAAUAUUUUACAGAGGAAGCCGAUGACCUUGCAAAGCCUGAAAUGCUGAAUUUAAUGGAAAAAUAUUCUGAUGAAAUUGAUGAAUUCUCUAAAAAAGGGGUUGAGGAGGUGAUGCUUGAAACUGAGCAGGAUGAAGACACCACAGAAAGUGAACACGACACGACUAAAUAUGAGCUAAUGGAGUCAGUAGAAACCCUGCAGAAAGUUUCCGAAGAACUAUCUGAAAAAAAAGUACCAAAUGUUGAACUGAAAAUGACCACAGUAGUGGAUGAGUUUUUUGAAACCGUUUAUACAUUAGAAGACUCCCUGCUGUCGGAUUCAAAACAGGAUACUUCAGAAAAAACUCCUGAAACAGGAACUGGGUCAUCUAUGGUGGCCAUGAAAACUGAGGGCAUGGUUUCAGAUCUAAUUGUUUGUGAGUUCCCAGGAGAAUCGAGCAAAGGGCCAGAGACUGCAUUGGCGGAGACUGAUUUGGGAUGUUUUGAGGAGAUCAAAAGUAACCUACAUGAUCCCCAAACUCUUGCAGAAGAGCAAGCAGAAAGGGAAGCUGUGGUCGUAUGCUCUGUUGAGCACUCUGAGACCCUGAAAACAGUUGAGACUGAACAAGACAUUGAAACCUUAAUCGAAUCCUUGGGUACAACAGAAAGUCAUGCACAUCAGGAAAUAGACAAAACCAAGUUCUCACACAAAGAACAUGUUGAAUUAAGAACUGAACUGAGCGAAGAAACAACUGAUACAAAGAUCAGUUCAGAAGAUGAGGAAGCAGAACCCUCCGAGAAAGAAGGUCAAUCAUUAGUCAUCAGAAAUGUCACUUUACAGUCACAUGAGCUUCUUGAGUUCAAAGAAGGUGAAUGCAAAUCAUCUCUAGGAACAAUGGACACAUUCAGUGAAUCACUAGGAAAUUCAAGUGUGUCUGAAAUCGCUGAAAAUGCAGAGAUUGAACAUGUUGCAGAGGAGCAAACAGAUGUGAAACCUGUAUUAACAAGGUCUUUAAGUUCAGCCGGGUUUCUGGAGGAAACUGUACAUCUGCAGGAUGUAUCAGAGCGACGCACCGAAGAGCAGGAGAUCCUGGAGACUGCUUUAGAGUAUGUAGAAGGAAUAACAAAUCAAGUCUUGAAGGAUAUGAUAGAAACAGAAGUUAACUUAGUACAAGAAACAGAACCUUUGGCAGGACCUUCAUCAGAAGAACCUGGUGAUGCAGAAUAUCAGGGACCUGCACAAUGUGUGUCAGCUGAUGCCUUUGUCCUGGAAGAAGAAGGGAAGUUAUUGGGUGAGACAAUGGAAAGUAAGGUAGAAAUGGAGGUGGAAACCACAAGUAGUGAAGUUCUUAAACAAACUGAGCAACAUAUUAGUUCACCAGUGUGUGAAACGACUGAAGCUGAUGGAUGUCGUGAUAUUGCUGGAGCAACAGUGUUGAGUAGUCAUGAAGACUUAAUGGAAGUCAGCAGACCUGGGAUGAAAAGAGGAUUUGAUCAAGUGAACAAAGACCUUGCAGAGGUGAAGACGGAACGAAAAUUUGAUUUGUAUCUACAGGCAUUUGAGGAAUCAUCAUUGGACUUUACCAUUCAGAAGACUCGAAUUGCUGUGAAAAAUCCCCUAGUUCGGCCUCCUAAAGACCCCAGAAGGCUCCUCUUCAAGGCCUCAGUCGAACCUCUUGUCUCACAGCCUUCACCGCGUAGUCAGAAGGUUGAAGUCUCUGUUCCAAGUAAAGGGGUGACUGGAUUUAAACUUCCAGGACUGGGUGCAGAGCUGCCAGUACUGAGAAAAACUGAGUUUGGGAAGAAAACAAGAGAAGGAGGAGCAGCAGAGAGAACACUACAACCACAGCAAAAGUCAGUUGCAGUAACAGAGGAUUCUGUCAAACAAGAGCAAGCGCCAGUGCCAGUGCCAGCUAAACCCAAAUGGACACCGCCAAAGCAUCCUGGUAUGGGAAGUCCCUUCAUGAUGGCAGAACUCAAAAGCAAACUCAAAAAGCCUGUUCAGGAGUAAUAUAUUUCAUUUCAUCAUCAUUUUCAGAUGCCUCAUUCACCUGUUUUUAUUUGUCUUAUUCAAGCUCAUUGCAGCCUGGUAAAUAUUAUGGAAAGUUAUCCCACUGUUAUUCUAAAAUUGUAUUUUACUUCCGCUAUUUUGUUUGCUUCUAUCGAAGAAUCUAAGCUGUGAACAAACAUUUCUCAUGCAUUUUUCUUAAGACUGAUUAUUUAUUUAUAUUUGAAAAAACUAUAAGGAAAAUGAUUACAUGCUAAAUAUCAAUAAAUAUUUCUGCACUUUUCUGCAGCACUUAAACUUUCUGUGACUGUAGUUCAAACUGUCCUAGUCAGUGUUUAUCACCAGGAGGCAGCAGAGAGACACUGCUUGUCACUUAUACCACAUUUAGUACAAUUUUAGUUAUUGUUAUAAUGUAUGUUUCUUUUUCUUGUCAUUACUUUCUAUGUGUAUAAUUAUUUUGGCAAUAUUGUAUGUAAACAGUCAUGGCAAUAAAGUACUUUAAAUUGAAUAUAUCACUUCGCCACUAGAGGGCAUAACAGAGUCGCUGGGUGUCAUAUGUUAUACGCCACUGGAGGGCAGCAGUAAACCGCUCAAUUUUUUUCAGACAGACUGGCAAAAGAAGCAAAAAAAAAAAAAAAAGAACAUGGUACUAUGGAAAGUAAGAAGGGAAAUAAAAGGAAGAAACUAGUUAUAAUAAAUAAACUGGGGAUUGGACAUUGCAAGCUAAACAAAACUCUUCAUGUUAUAGGAAAACACCCAACAGGACUAUGUGAGGAAUGUCAGGAGGAAACAAUUAAGCACAUUUUUAUAUCAUGCAAGAAAUAUGUACAAGAAAGGCAAGAGUUCAAGAAUCAGCUACAGGAAAUAGGAAUAGUAGAGGUAUAAUGUUAAAAAUAUAGUAACAUAUGGAAAUAAUGACCAAGGACCUGUGGGACACUUGCCGCUCUAUUUUUUGUUGUUCUUUUUCUCUAUUAAAUCUUUUAGUAAUCAUCAUAAAUUAUAUAUCAUUUGAAAGCUUAGAAGCCCAAGAUUCAUCCCAUGAAAACCAUUUUGAAAUCGGACAUUGCAUUACCAUGGAAAUUGUACUUUAAAAUCUUAUGGCGGUCUCCUCCCCCUUAGUGGGCAGUUUCAAGUGUCAUAUUACAAAAUGCAUUACGGUCUUUUAGAAUCAAAACUUUUUAUAAUCUUGGCAACCAACAUAUCAUUGGAAAGGUCUGAGUCUCAGGAUUCCAUAUUUUGAGAUAGAAGUAAAAUUGACAGAGAAAUCUAGGGAAAAAUUCAUUAAACAAAAUUCAAAGGAGUUUUGAUGGCUCCCAGUGGCUGUUUGUGGUAUGACGCCCUAAAUAAAAUCUCACAGGAACCUCAGUUUUUUUCAUAUCAACUUCAAAUUUGGAACAUAACUUAUUUAGACACAAGGCUUUAAUUUUAUACCAAUUUUAGAGUAAAAUCUGUUAUGUAAAAUAUUUAUAAUAAAUAAAAUAUAAUAAAAUUAACAGUACAUUUUAUUUACAGUACAUUUAAACUUCUAUAACUUUUUGAUACUUUAAUUUUUUGAAAAAAAAAAUACACUUUUGCCAAAAUCUGCUAAUUUUCUUCUUUAAAAAGAGACCAACCGUAGGUCUAUAUUCCAAAGUGUUCAUAAAUUACAACAAUUUAAGUUUGGAUAGUGCACUUUAAUGCUUAUUUUAAAAAAUGGGGUGUGACAGUUAAAGAGUUAAAGUGAGACAGCAGAUGGAAGUAAUGCAACACUAAUGGAUGCCAACUGCCGUAAAACUCCAGCGAAGAAGAAGAAGCAGAAGAAGGCGGAGGAGGGGCUUGACGCCGGUAGAGGGUGGUGGGAGAAAAAGAGCGACGAACCGGGUGGAAGCCCUAAAAAGCCAACUGAGGUUUUACUCCUUAGAUUGCUUUGUAUUUUACAAGUGACUAGAG
rnacentral:lncRNA from 12 species